rnacentral:rRNA from 1 species
UACGUAGGGUGCAAGCGUUAAUCGGAAUUACUGGGCGUAAAGCGUGCGCAGGCGGUUGUGCAAGACAGAUGUGAAAUCCCCGGGCUCAACCUGGGAAUUGCAUUUGUGACUGCACGGCUAGAGUGUGUCAGAGGGGGGUAGAAUUCCACGUGUGGCAGUGAAAUGCGUAGAUAUGUGGAGGAAUACCGAUGGCGAAGGCAGCCCCCUGGGAUAACACUGACGCUCAUGCACGAAAGCGUGGGGAGCAAACAGG